CUCGCAAAAUGGUAGUUGAAUUUCAACGUCACUUUCCACAACGACAUUUUCCGAGAAGUAUCACAAGGUAGAAAAAUAUGCUUUCGUGAUUGCAAUUCCAAAUGCAUCCUGUCUCUAUUUUAAGAUUGUGUUCCAGAUAGUGAUUAGGUGUUUUUGCCAUAUCGCCUGCUUCAUGAUUCUUGCAAUCAUCGAUGUACAUCCACGUUGCAGAAUGUUGGCUAUAGUUCAAUUAGAUUUUUUACAAAUACAGAACUCAAUAUACUGCUCUGUGUCACAUACAUAAACAUACUUAUUCUGUUACACGUUCAAAUGUAUUCUGUUUCAAUCUUUUAACUAAGUUCCAACAAACUUGUACAAUAAAUUAUCUACCUUGGAAAAAAUAAGUACAUUUUAUUUUAAUUUUUGUUGAAAACGUUCUUCUCAUAAGCAUAUUAUUAGUUAUGCCAAGAUAGAGCGUUUUCAAAUAUCGCCUUUGAGAUAUAACAAAUACAUUUAUGAGAAAAUAAUCUGUGAAAAUACCUUUGUUAUAUCUACGAAAUGUUGCAAUGCUGUUUUUACCAACCAGGUUUUA